GUCUCCUUAGCUCAAUUGGGAGAGCGCCAGACUGAAGUCUUCGGUCAUUAAAUCUGGAGGGUGAGUUUCUUCAUCUGAUUGGUCAGUGUGAAUUUUCACUAACGAAAAAUCAGUAUCGUGUUCGAUCCACGAAGGGGACA